rnacentral:sRNA from 1 species
AAUCAGAAAAAAAUAGUAUUAUCCAACCGUUCAACCAAUCCGUGCGUU